UGCAUUUUAUAAAACACCUGUUUAAAUCUUUUUUACAUACACAUUUAAUUUAGUUUUUUUAUAAGACAUGAGGUUAUCCCUGUUUUAUGCAGAUACAAGGUUACUAUUUAGAGUUUUUGGACAUUCAGGAAUUAUCUUGAAAUUUUAAAAAUACAGUUGUUACUUAUAAUUUUCAUAUUUUUUUUUUUAAAUGUAAUCAAAUUAAACUCUCAUUCCAUGAGUUGCACCCUUAUAUUUUUACCCCUCAGUUUAACACUUUAAUUGUUGGAUGAAAAUCAUAUCCAACUACAAAUCAUGAGAUCCUAUAUAUUGCAGUUCUUUUCAUCUUAUGCCGGCAUUUAUUUUUCAUCAUUGUUAAUAUAAAGAGGAUGGAAUUCAAAGUUUUUUUCACUUCUCUAUAUUAAUUGUCAUAGCGGGGCCCUUCCUGACUGGUCAGUUUUCUAGUUAAUUUAAACAAAUAAAAGGGACUGAAAUCGUUGCACAUUGCAUCCUUCAUUUUAAAUUGGACUAUAUGUGUUACAUUUAUGUAUAUCAUUCCAAUUAUGUAUAUGUUUUGUAUACAUGUACUAGUAUUUACCGUAGCAAUAUGGCUGAUGUCAAAUUUUUUUAUUAAUUCAAAUCUAUUUUUUGUACACUACAGCGAGUUUUUAUGACUUGAAACUUUGUUGAAACAUAGUUUUGUACGAUAUCCAUAAAGUUUUAUGCAUAUUUGCAUGUAAAUAAAAAAUAUUUUGUACC
rnacentral:sRNA from 1 species